AAGAAGUUUUCCUUGGUGACCAGCCUGAUGCUGCCGCCCUCCUGCUGGGCCUUACUCAGGGAGGCCUGGGCCACCUCGUCUCGACCGAGCUCCAUCUGGACAGAAUACUUUCUUUGGGAGAAAAACAGAAAGAAGGAAAAAAAAAUGAAGAAAAGAUGGAUGACAGGAGGCAGAAAGUGGAGGAGGGAGACACAUCAAAGAGGAGAAGUUUCUCUGGAAGCUGAGGGGAGAUGAGGAAGAAGGGAAGAAAUGGUGGUAAGCAUGAGAAGUGAUGGCCGCCGUGGCUGAGCAGAUAAAGUGAAAAGCAUCACCAACAGAAACCCCAACUUCAAAAUCACCAAUGACUCACAUGAGUGAAGAACAUGUCGUCUUUCCCCUCCAGCGGCAGCUCCGUGUCGCUCGGCUUCCACGCGCUGGCAAAG